CCAUCUGAGAUGUGACGUCAGACGGCGCGCGAGGGAUGCUUGCGCAGGGCAGAUCCUUGCGCAGGGCAGGUAGGGCCGCGUGAGACGGGCGCCAUUUUGUGGCAGCUGUAGGAGUAAAGAGGAGGUGCUGCUUGCUGCCGUUUCCACCUUCCUUGCCGCGCCUCUCACGCCUUUUUCUUCUCUCUCCUUUUUUUAAAAAUAAACAUUUCCAUUUCUUUUAAUUAUUUUCUCCUUCCCUUCCUCCCGAGCUCCUUCCCUUUUUUUGGUGGUGGUUGCUGUUUGUUUUUUCUCACGCGCUCCGACCACCCAACCGCAGCCAUUGCCGACCUCGCCAUGUCUGGAGGCGGCGUGAUCCGCGGCCCGGCCGGGAACAACGACUGCCGCAUCUACGUGGGCAACCUGCCGCCGGACAUCCGCACCAAGGACAUCGAGGACGUCUUCUACAAGUACGGCGCCAUCCGGGACAUCGACCUCAAGAACCGCCGCGGGGGGCCGCCGUUCGCCUUCGUCGAGUUCGAGGACCCCAGGGAUGCAGAGGAUGCAGUCUAUGGACGGGAUGGAUAUGAUUACGAUGGGUACCGUCUGCGGGUGGAGUUUCCUCGAAGUGGCCGGGGCACUGGCAGGGGAGGAGGAGGCGGUGGAGGUGGUGGGGCCCCAAGGGGCAGAUAUGGACCCCCAUCCCGGCGAUCAGAGUAUAGAGUGAUGGUAUCAGGAUUACCUCCCAGUGGAAGCUGGCAGGAUUUAAAGGAUCACAUGCGUGAAGCAGGUGAUGUAUGUUAUGCUGAUGUUUACCGAGAUGGAACUGGUGUCGUGGAGUUUGUACGGAAAGAAGACAUGACCUAUGCAGUGCGAAAACUGGAUAACACUAAGUUUAGAUCUCAUGAGGGAGAAACUGCCUACAUCCGUGUUAAAGUUGAUGGCCCAAGAAGUCCAAGUUAUGGAAGAUCUCGCUCUCGCAGCCGUAGUCGUAGCAGAAGCCGUAGCCGAAGCAACAGCAGAAGUCGCAGUUACUCCCCGAGAAGAAGCAGAGGAUCUCCACGCUACUCUCCCCGUCACAGCAGAUCACGUUCCCGUACAUAAAUGAUCUUUAAUGGUGCUCCUUUUUGUAGAAAACCCCUCCAUGUUGUAUGAGUUUUCCUUUACUCAGUACAGUCUUUCUUUUUUUAAAAAAAAAAUUCAAGCUGUUUUACUCAAAAUUGGCUAAAGUGUUGAAUUGCAUUCAUGUAUAAUAGCCCUAGUGAGUAUUUGCUCCUUAAACAUCAACAUUCCCUCACAUCUUUGAUAAAUUGUAUUUUAACAUGUCCUAGGCAGGGUUCUCUCUAGUUAGUCAGUUUGCUGCCCAUAUUCUUUUCCAAUAUGGUAUUGCUGUAUAAAAUGUCUUUGUUAAGCUGUGGUUUCUACAAGCUGGGGAUGCUGGGAAUAUUUGGGGUUUAACUUGUCUCUUCUGGGGGAGCUUACAUUUUUAUCUUGCCUUUUCGUGUGUCUUUCUGUAGACAUAUCUGAAGAGAUGGAUUAAGAAUGCUUUGGAUUAAAGGAUUUUGGAGCACAUGUCAAUCAUUUUAGGAUUGUCAAAAGGAGGAUUGAGGAGGAUCAGAUCAAUAAUGGAGGCAAUGGUAUGACUCCAAGUGCUAUUGUCACAGAUUAAAUUGGCAGUAUUGACCUUAUACUGAAACUGUCUGAGUAUGCAACACCUGUUCUCCAUUGUUCCAGACAAGUUUUAGUUAGUCUUAGUCUUCUAACUUCCAUGAUGCAAUCAUGGCUAAAUGUACCCAUGUAACUCCUCCAGUCUCUGGGGGCGGGAGGUGUACUGAGUGACUGCAAUGUAUCAGUUGAUUACAGGUGCUAAGGAUUAGUGCACUUGUAAAAUGCAGGUUGUUUCAAACCUGUAAGUAUAAUCUCAAUACUGCUAAAAUCUGCAUGUCCUCUGUGUGACUGAUAUAGCAUUGCUGUUUCAUCUUAAAGUAACAGAAUGAAAGUUAUAGGAGGGGGGUUUAAAAUGGGGGUGAUUCCUUUUAAGUCCACCUCUUCCCCUUCAGAAUUGACUCACAUUAGUUAAGUUUGUUGCCUUCCAGACAGUACAAUAAUGAGCUUUUAGUUUAGAUAUGCAGCAGGGUAGAUAGCUUUAGCAGUGAGUUUUUGCAACUUUCAUAAAUACUUUUUUCAACCACCAAACCUGUAAAGCGCCAUAGAGGAAUUGAUAUGUUGCAUUUUCAGUUACCCUGUGUAAAUACUAGAAUGUUUCCUCCAAAUAAUUAACAUUGUUAAAAUCUGAGCUUCACAAUUCAAAAGCUUGUUUUGGGGAAUUGAUAGUUAUCGAUGCCCAUCUUUAUUAUUCAGUGGCAGACAUAACUUAUCAUUCUCCAGAAUCCUAUUUUUCAUUACGGUCUCUAACUUUUUGCCUCCUCUUUUUUGGUUUUGCUGGUUAUAAAGGUUUGGAUUGGAGAGGGCUCACUGGAUCCCAAUCCUUGGAGCUGGAUCAUUGGAUUCAAAUCAUAAUGUGGAUAGGAUAGGGAGGAUCAAUUGCAAGGAUUCAUGGAGCGGGAUCAGAUUACCAGGAACAUAGGAGUGGAUUCCUGCCCCAACCAAACCGCACUCGUGUGGAUUUUUAUUCAACUCAAUUGGCUAUUCCAAAGAUUUUUCCUAUUUUUGACGAUUGGAGCCCUUAAGAUGCACGAUGGAGUUUUCAUUUUUUGGUAAAAGGAGCAAAGCAAGGACCUGGAGAGGUACGCUGGAGCAUUCUCCUUGGAAGGAUUCAGCACGAGUAGAUGGUAAAUGUUAAAGGGGAAAAGGGGGGUUUGUUUAAAAACGUUAAACCAAUAAGUCAUUUAUCUAAAUUUAAAAGACAAAAAAAAAUUGGAGUCUUAAGAUUAAGUAGGUUUUCAAUUGGCUAUUGCCUUUUUUCUUUUGACAAAAUAAAAUUUUAUAAAAAAGUGCAUGGUGGUUCUGUUGUAUUAAAUAAUGCCCUCUUACAUUGUCUUGUACCAUGAUGAAUUCAGCUUUUAAGCUCCUCUGUCUUUGGCCUGAGAACUGAAGUAAGACUGACUGGGCCCAAAUGGGUACUCCAUGGCCCUUUCAUUUGCAUUGGAUCACUCAGUAGCCCUGUGGGAACAGUGUGGUGAGCCAUGAAGAGGGUUGAGAUUGGCCCCUCUUGGAAGUUGAGCAUCCUGGACCCUGCACGGUCAUGCAUCUGGAGUUCACAGCAAAAUACUCUGCUCUAUAGUGUGAUGUAAAGCAGUGUUCAAGGGCUCUCACAACUAUUGGUGAGUGCAGAUUGUGGAUAACAAGAUGACUGAGGCAUGCAGACUUGGACCCCUGCUGGUGGAUGAUUUGCACUUGGAGCCAGGAGAGGAUUCCUUGAGGCUUGCCUGUCCAAAAGACAACCCUUUUCUCCUUGAAUGUUUUCAUGCCCUUGCAGAACAGUUCAGCCGUGCAAAGGAGAGGAGGCUACCCGUUUUUUGUUUGCUGGAUCACAGCCUGGCAAGCUUUAGUGUAAUAGAAUGUCUUCACCAUCACUACCAUUGCAUUUCCAAGAGACCACAUUCACCAAGCGGGGGGGAGAGAGUAUUUAGGGAUUGCCGCGAUUGAGGACUGUUGACUCCUGCUGGAUGCAAGAUUCCUCUCAAAAUGGGAUGGGCGUGGAUUGGCCUUGUUCUGCUUCCCAGUAAUUAUUAAUCAAAUGUAGUCAACGUUAACAUUUUUCUGGAGACCUCAAGUUGUUAACUGCUACCAGUGUUUUUGCACAAGGCCUUUUUUUUUGUUCAGGAGCUAGCUGGAUCGCCAGUGGGCAAGUGCAGUAACUAUAGAGACAACUCAAGAUCCCUGAGCGCCCAGGCACUGCAGUAUACACAGACCCAACUAAGUACAACCUUGUGUUCAUUAAACAUAUGCAUCCUAACACACACACACACACACACCUUUGUCAUAGUCUCUAUCCUCAAAAUAACAAACCAAAGGAAGCGGUCCCAUAAUAAAGCACAUACACAGUUCAAACCGCAAACAACAUAGUGUGAUGUAAUUGCCGAAAACUAAGCGAUACUUUAGGAGAGUCAAGCUUGGCUGCCAUCCAUCAUAAUAGUUUCUGAAGAAGAUGGGAAUGGAAAUGCAUUCUGGAGUUUUCAUCAAUUAGUUAACUACUGUUUUAUUGAACUGAUACACACCUGGGCAGUUUAUUCCUGUUUGUGUACAGAUUUUAUGUUGGUGGUUUAACUUUUAGUGAGUUUUGGAUUGUUCUGUGUUUAUUCAUUCCUAUUGAUAUACAGGCCUGUUGCUGUUUACUGUAUACAAUUGCAUCACAUCAUGUUAUAUUUGUGGUUUGAUCUGUAUGUGUACUUUAUCAACUUGUUAUUUCAGUCAUCUAUUGGUCUGUGACUUGGUCAUUCUGCUCAUACUUUUUCUGUCCUCUGCAGUUUGAGCAAGAGAAGGAGAGCUAAGCACAUUACUGCUCUUACUGAAAACACAUACUUGGUCUGAAUUCACACACAUAAUGUGGCCGAUGUAGGGCUUGAAUACAAGAUUUUGAAAAUCCAAGUCCAGUUUUUGUUUUUCUGUGCCACUUGGAAAUUGUGUGAUUUAAAAACUGAUAAAACUUGAAUUUAUUUCCAUGAC